ACUGGGGGAGGAAGAGAGGUGACAGAGUGGAGGAGGUGAAUGGGGAAGGAACCAACACUCCAAGACUGUCUGGAGAGGAGAAAAAGGUCUCUGAGAACUUCCUAGAGCCUCGUGAGGUCAGAACGAUUGUUAUCCCAGUAUACAGAGAAGAAGAAGGCUCAGAGAGGUUCAGCAGGAAGCAGAGUAUGAAUAAAGAGCAGAAUGAUUCUGCCAGAGCUCCUCUCCCUCUGAGCUGGACAGUGAGGACUCCAGGAGCCGAGAGCCUUGUGGAAGUGAGAAGGGGGAGUCUUACUGAGCCAUGGACAUUUGAGCUCUAGGGCAGCCCCUACCCUCAGCCUGGGGAUACCCAACAAACGCUUCCAAGCCCUGAGACUCCAUGACUCGCUGGGAGUGUGGAAUUGAGUCUUAUUCUGUUGCCCAGGCUGGAGUGAAGUGGCGCGAUCUCGGCCCACUGCAACCUUCACCUCCCGAGUUCGAGCGAUUCUUGUGCCUCAGCCCCCGGAGUAGCUGGGACAAAAAUCUUUAACUGUGAUUAAAAACACAUAU
rnacentral:lncRNA from 1 species